rnacentral:rRNA from 1 species
ACUCAAAUGAAUUGACGGGGACCCGCACAACUGGUGGAGCGUGUGGUUUAAUUCGAGACAAAGCGAGCACCUUACCAGGGCUUGACUCGCUACCGUUUAUUCUCCCGGAAACGGGAGGAAAUCCGCAAGGAUGGUAGUACAGGUGCUGCAUGGCUGUCGUCAGCUCGUGCCGUGAGGUGUUCCCUUAAGUGGGGAAACGAGCGCAACCCGCAUCUAAUGUUAAAUAUUCAUUAGGAACUGCCCUGAUUCAAUCAGGGAGGAAGGAGCGGAAGACGUCAAGUCAGCACGGCCCUUAUGCCCUGGGUCACACACACCCUACAAUGGCGAACAACAAAGAGCAGCAAGCCGGCAACGGCAAGCAAAUCUCAGAAAUUUCGCCUCAGUUCAGAUUGAGGUCUGCAACCCGACCUCAUGAAGUCGGAAUCAGUAGUAAUCGCGGAUCAGAAGGCCGCGGUGAAUACGUUCUCGGGUCUUGUACACACCGCCCGU